UGAAGAAGCUAGUUCUAUACAGAUGCAUGUAGACUAGGCCCCCUCCUCCAUCAGACUCCAGUCUUCCUGUGUUGAGGUGUGAUGCUGCCGUCCCUGUACACCUGAGCCCAGUACAGACAUGGGUGGAGACGUUGGAGAGGCGGGACAGUAAACAGUUAGGGGCGAAGAGCUUCCUGAGAACAUCCUUCAGGCCACAGAGCUUGAAGACUGAAUGUCAUUCCAGCCAUAGGCCUGAAUGUUCAUAGCAUGCUCAAACACGAGGUCCUGGUCCUCACCCUGGAAGCAGUGAAGUUUCUGGAAAACAAGCUGCUUUG